rnacentral:lncRNA from 1 species
CCCCAUCCCAACUCUCACACUUCUAUUUCCAAUCCAUCCCACCCUUCCCCGUAAACCAAUCCCCAUCCACUUUCUCCGCCCCCAACAUUCUCUUUAUUCUACUCGUCUUCUCCUCCCUCCCUCCCCCGUCAUAUCCUCUCUCUUAACACACCCAGGGCAGCUGUCUGUGUUGGUUCGUAUCAAUUAUGAGGUUUUUCCAAUGGUAAGGAGUAGUAACAAGUAAGCAGCAGGGCAUCAAUCAAGAAAUCCGGUUACAAAUAUCGGCACCAAUUGCAGCUGCACGAGUAGCAUAGCAGUGACCAGACUAGAAACAACCCCAUGACAUGAGAGCUAGUUUCGACCGCAACAACCCAUCAUCACACGGAGUCAUGAGAUUUUCCUAUUUCGCUCCUCCUUUCUUCCUCAAUUUUCUUCUCUCUAACACUAUCAUCGGCCGCUCGUCUCCUCUUAUUGGUGCCAACCACACCUCCGCCCGCUUCUGUUCCCGAUAAAUUCAACUCCCUUCUUCCUUACAUCCGCUCAC